rnacentral:tRNA from 1 species
ACUGUUUUGGCAGAUAAGUGCAGUAAAUUUAGAAUUUAUAAAUAUAAAUGAAUUAUUAUAGGCAGUA